UCAUAAAGUAGGUUGAUUAAGCAAAGAUAUUUGUAUUUCCAGUUAGGUAUUUCCUGUUAUUCCCAAUCCUCCUUGACUCUUUCACUAUUGCAGUUCUCAGUUUGCAUUGCCUUCAUAUAUGAGGAAAAAGUAAAACAAUUCAACACUUUCUAUAAUUAUUCCAUUUAUAAUCUCUUAUUGUGUUAUAUUUUUUCAUUUCUAAACGACUCGAUUGUUUUUAUCUCUCUUAGACUUUUAUAAGUUCUUUGAUAAUGCUCCACUUCAUUAUAUAUUUUCAGAUAUGCAGCCAUCAGUGGUCUAGCUGAUUCACACAAACCAAAAAUGGUUAAUGAGAUAAUAAAUAUUAGUCAACCUCUUCGAGAGCAAUACAAGUUGUCUAUGACUGAUGGUGUUCAACAAAUCUUUGACAUGGAUUGAAGGUUGUUAUUUCUAAUGUAAAUGUAAGGCAUGGGCUACUAAUGCUGGUUCCAGAAGUGUUUCAAGUUUUAGGAGGACUGGUUGAGGAGCUGGAUGCAGCAAGGCAAAGACUUUUUAAUGAAGUCAAUAAGCCUCCAAGAGGCAAAAGAACAAGAAUAGGAGUUGCAUCCUCUUUAGCAACUAAAGUCUAGAGCUACUCCGUGCUGAAUGGCCAACUGAUAAUGUCCAUUCUUCAGCUAACACUGUAUCCUAAAGUGCAACUCAAAUACAUGUAAAUGUACAAGGUACUACACCUUCUGUUAAUGGAAGAGUGGCAUCAAAUUCUUCAGUGAACAGACUUGCUCACAAGGAACACAUUUCAGUAUCAUCUAAUAAUCAAGAUGAUCAAGAUAUGUGAAUUCGUAUCCACCUCAUGAAAUUAGUAUGUGCAAUAAAGGAGAUUUGCUCACGUUCACCUGUUGAUAUAAUUAAACAAAUGAAAAAUUUUGUGCCUAAUUUAUGUCUACUACCAAGCUCCAGUUUCUUUUCUUUUUGCCAUUAAGUGUUGUAUAUUUGGAUAUAUGACAAUAAUAUAACUUGGUGAUGUAUGACUUACAAUGUCAUCAUGCUACCAACUUUGUGACUAUCAUCAUUUCUUUGCUUUAAAUAUUUUCUUUAUUAACUUUACCAUGUAUGUAAUAUAGGUACUACUACUAGACCUCUUAAAAUGAUG